rnacentral:misc_RNA from 1 species
GACUCAAGGUGCCUUUUGACAGGGCAAUCCCAUCAAAMGACCCCAUGAGUGCAGCAGUCAGUCAUUUUAGCCACAAAUGGAACGAACGGGCAAGWCAACCCGAUACUCUUUGUGUUUUCCGAAUCCCCAAGCCACAUGUAAACUUUGUUAACCACUCACACAGUUUGAAAAACUAGUGCAUGGCAUCACAAAACACACGAACAGGUUGCCCACGGCUAAUACAAAGACCAACCAUGGGCAAAAUAACACACGACAUCGUUUGCCAACUAAUUUCUUUGGUAAGCAACACAGGAAUACCGAAA